AAUCAUAGAUACCAGAAUAGGGGCUUACUCUUCAAGUGGUUAUGGAGAUUCAAUCAAAAUGAAGGAGCGUUAUGGAAAGUGGUGGUUACCAAAAUGUACGGAAGUGAGCACAACUGGAGUACCAAAAUUACUAACUCAGCACAUGGAGUGGUCAGUGUUUGGAAACAUAUAAGAAGUUUUUGGGAUGACCUUGGUAGAAACACGGAUUUUGGUAGGUAAUGGUGGCAACACUCUUUUUUGGCAUGAUGCAUAACACUCCCCUCUGAAGGAAUUAUUUCCAGAUCUUUAUAAUUAAGUGAGGCAUACCCAUCAUACUACCGCACAAUGUAGAUCUAGUACUGGUGGGAGUUGAGUUUCAGGAGAAAUUCCAAUGACUUGGGAAGUGGAUAGGCUCUCUUCUUCUUCUUCUUCUUCUUUUUUGGUGAAGUGGAUUGGAAGUAUGUUGAAUUAGAGGCGAAGUUAGCAGUUACGGCGCCUUUUGAACGCCUGUAUGUUGAAUUGGCGGGGAUAAGAAAUUCUACGGGCUAGUCUCAAGGCAAGAGAAAGGAGGACCCGUGACCUAGACCAAGUGAAGUGCAUCAAGGACGAGAGGGCAAAAUACUGGUGGAGCAGGCACUCUCAUUAGCCAGAGAUGACAGUCAUACUUUCAUGAACUCUUGGACGAAAAGGGGAACAGAGACAUUGUGCUGGGGAAUUUAGAACACUCUGAGAGGCGUCACGAUUUUGGGUAUUGUAGGUGUAUAAAGGUUGAGGAAGAUAAGGGUGUCAUUCGUAGUUGUGUAGGGGAAGAGCAACUGGGCUAUGUGAGACCCUGUUGGAAUUUUGGAAAAGCGGCAGGUAGGGUAGGUGCAGGGUGGUUAGUUGAGUUGUUUAUUGUCGCUUUGAAGACGGCAAAAAUGUCCGAAGAAUGGAGGUGGAGUACAAUGAUCCCAUUGAACAAGGACAAGGAUGACACUUAAAAUUGCAACAACUAUAGGGGUAUCAAGCUCCUAAGCCACACUAUGAAAGUAGCGCGGUGGAGAUAAGGGUGAGAAGGGGUGUAGCUAUUAUCGUGAACCAGUUCAGAUUCAUGUCGGAGCGCUUAACUACAGCAGGCAUUCAUCUUGCAAGGAGAUUAGUGGAGCAAUAUAGGAAGAGGAAGGACUUACACAUGGUAAUCGUCGACCUAGAAAAGGCUUACGACAAAGUCCCAAGGGAGGUUCUAUGGAGAUGCUUGGAGGCUAAAGGGGUAGCUGCGGCAUACACUAGGGCGAUCAAGAAUAUGCAUGAUGGAUCCAAGACUCGGGUAAGGACAGCGAGAGGAGACUCAAAGUACUUCUUAGUUGUGAUGGGGUUGCACCACAGAUCAGCUCUUAGCCCGAUUUUGUUUGCCUUGGUGAUGGAUGAAUUGAUGCGACAUAUCCAAGGAGAGGUGCCACAAUGUAUGUUAUUUGCGGGUGGCAUAGUUUUAAUUGACAAGACUAAAGAUUUGGAGACAAACCUUGGAGUCUAAAGGUUCUGGUUGAGCAGAACCAAAACAGGAUAUAUAAGAGUGCAAGUUCUGUAAUAUGACACAUGAGGCUAGCGUGGAGCAAGGCUUGAUACACAAGAAAUCAAAAAGAGAUGAGGUUUCAGGAUCUUGGAUCUAUUUUCCAAGGAAAUGGAGAGAUUGAAUGAUGUUACACAUCAUGUUGGUGCAGGGUGGAUUAAAUAGAGGCUCCCACCUGGAGUCUUGCGUGAUAAGAAGGUACCACCAAAAAUUAAAGGCAUGCUCUAUAGGGUGGUAGUUAGACCAACUAUGUUAUAUGGGGCGGAGUGUUGGCCAGUUCAAAACUCUCACGCUCAGAAGAUGAAAGUUGUGAAAAUGAGAAUGUUGUGAUAGAUGUGUGAGCAUACUAGGAGGAUAGGAUUAGAAAUGAAUAUAUCUGAGGCAAGGUAAGGAGUGGCUUCAGUGGAGGACAAGAUGUAGAAAGCGAGGCUAAGAUGGUUUGGGCAUGUGAAGAGGUCAUGCAUGGAUGGCAGAGGUGUGAGAGGUUGUCUAUGGAUGGUUCCAAGGGCGGUAGAGGUAGCCCAAAGAAAUAUUGGCACUAUUGGGGAGAGGUGAUUAGACGGGACAUCACGCGAUUUUAGCUUACAAAGGACAGGAUUGUAGAUAGAAGGUUGUGGAGGACACGAAUUAGGAUAGAAGGUUAAUAGGUAGUAGAGCAUUUUCCUUCCAUAAUAGUAGUCGUAGUAUUACUCUUGUAGUUUCUUGUCCCUCAAUUUCUAUUACUACUUGUUGUUUCUUGCAUUUUGCUUGUUGUAUUAUUUUGUUUUAAUUACUGUUCAAAAUGAUUUGUCACAUGAUUUCUAUAGUAUUUUGCCAUAGCUUGUUCACUUCCAUUAUUUCUUUUGUCCUACUGUUUCGGAUUGUUUUUCAUUGAGCUGAGGGUCUACCGAAAACAACCUCUACCACUAAAGUAGGGGUAAGGUCUGCAUACACUCUAUCCUUCCCCGACCCACUUUGUGGAAUUACACCAAGUAUGUUGUUGUUGUUUAAGUGGAUAGGAAGUCGAUAGGUUCUCACAACUCAUCAAAAUAUCGGAAAGCUUCAAAUUCCAGGAAAUGGUAGUUGACUGGCUAGUAUGGGUUCCACAAAGUAAAGGUACCUUCUCGGUCAGCAGCUGCUACAAAUUCCUAUUGACCUCCAAUACAUUGGAUCAGAAUUACAGCUUCUGGCCUUGCAGGCAGAUAUGGA